CCUACGGGCGGCAGCAGUGGGGAAUAUUGCACAAUGGGCGCAAGCCUGAUGCAGCCAUGCCGCGUGUGUGAAGAAGGCCUUCGGGUUGUAAAGCACUUUCAGCGGGGAGGAAGGCGGUGAGGUUAAUAACCUCAUCGAUUGACGUUACCCGCAGAAGAAGCACCGGCUAACUCCGUGCCAGCAGCCGCGGUAAUACGGAGGGUGCAAGCGUUAAUCGGAAUUACUGGGCGUAAAGCGCACGCAGGCGGUCUGUCAAGUCGGAUGUGAAAUCCCCGGGCUCAACCUGGGAACUGCAUUCGAAACUGGCAGGCUAGAGUCUUGUAGAGGGGGGUAGAAUUCCAGGUGUAGCGGUGAAAAGCGUAGAGAUCUGGAGGAAUACCGGUGGCGAAGGCGGCCCCCUGGACAAAGACUGACGCUCAGGUGCGAAAGCGUGGGGAGCAAACAGGAUUAGAUACCCUAGUAGUC
rnacentral:rRNA from 1 species